rnacentral:rRNA from 1 species
GACGAACGCUGGCGGCGUGCUUAACACAUGCAAGUCGAACGGAAAGGCCCUGCUUUUGUGUGGUGCUCGAGUGGCGAACGGGUGAGUAACACGUGAGUAACCUGCCCUUGACUUUGGGAUAACUUCAGGAAACUGGUGCUAAUACCGGAUAGCAGCUCCUGCUGCAUGGUGGGGGUUGGAAAGUUUCGGCGGUUGGGGAUGGACUCGCGGCUUAUCAGCUUGUUGGUGGGGUAGUGGCUUACCAAGGCAUUGACGGGUAGCCGGCCUGAGAGGGUGACCGGCCACAUUGGGACUGAGAUACGGCCCAGACGCCUACGGGAGGCAGCGGUGGGGAAUAUUGCACAAUGGGCGGAAGCCUGAUGCAGCAACGCCGCGUGCGGGAUGACGGCCUUCGGGUUGUAAACCGCAGUAGCCUGUGACGAAGCGUGAGUGACGGUAAUGGGUAAAGAAGCACCGGCUAACUACGUG